UGAGGAACAUGACCUUCGGCGGGGGAUAGCCGGCCCAACGGCCGGGUAAUACCGCGUACGACCACUUUGGGACAUCCCUCGGUGGUGAAAGCAGCAAUGCGCCGAUGGAGUGCCUCGCGGCCCAUCAGCUUGUUGGUGAGGUAAUGGCUCACCAAGGCGACGACGGGUAGCCGGCCUGAGAGGGUGACCGGCCACACUGGGACUGAGACACGGCCCAGACUCCUACGGGAGGNAGCG
rnacentral:rRNA from 1 species